rnacentral:lncRNA from 1 species
GGGGGAUGGGGGCAGAAGGAGAACAAUAGAGGAGCAGGAGGAAAUGUUUUAGGAGAGAUUUGGCCGGUUCCAGGGAAGCCGGGCCUCUGAUCCCAAGAGAGGAAACCCAGGAAGCACCUCGAACUGCAGGUAAUCCUCAACGGAGAGCAGUGGAACUGUGAGAACUGGACUCAGAGGGACCAUCCCAAAGACCAGUGAGUCUCUGACUUUGCUGAAAUUUCCCUCUUUGGUUUGACUGGAUUUUAUUUCGUCUUAUUUGAUUAUUUCAUCCAUUUUAGUCUCUUACCCGGAACACUGUUGUCACUUCAUAUGUAUUUAUUGUGCUGUUUGUUGGUCUGCUGUCGUACACCUGAUUCACUGCAAACAAAAUUUACCUGAGGGUACAAAUAAAGUAACCUUUGACCUUUGAACUUUUUGAUGGAUUGUUCUGUUUUGGGGAUUGUGGAGCUUUGAGUAAAAAACACUCGACUUGACCCGAAAAACUCUCAAAAUUUACUGUGUGAUUCCAUGACUCCACCCCAUGAAUAAGUGUCCUCUUUUUGGGAAUUCAGAUUACGGUCACCCUAGGAUUUGGUCCGUUUUAUUUUAUAAGCGUUUUAUUUUAUAUUUUCUUUGACUUCACCUGGAGAAGUUUUUUCUGGAACUUUAGAAAAGCUAGGACGGUCCGGGUUUGGUUAAAAACUGUGGCUCCUUGUUUCCUGCUCUAUACAGUAAACUGUGGUCAAUAUUAUUAAGUUUGUUUUUCACAAAAUUGAAACAGGAGUUCCCCAAGGAGCCGUCCCGGGCCCCUUCUUUUUCAGCCGUAUAAUUUAACAAAUCACCAGGAUAAACCUAAUCAUAGGUCUUAAGAUGUAUGAAGGCGACACAAUUGUGUAUGUAUGAGGUAAAAUCUGUGGUGCUGUUCCAGGACAGCUAACUUUAAAUAUAUAUAUAUAUAUAUGUAAAAAAUGCAAUCUUAACUCAAUGCCUGUUGUUUGACAUGAAACGAUAAGAAAACUGAGUCAGUCUGUUUUUAUCUGGAAAUCUAUCUGCAUCAGAAUGACUGAAGAUCAGAAUUUGACUUUUUAACAGGGAGUCUGCCUCCAGUGGACACUCUUGGAACUGCAGUUUUUGUGCUCAUGUUUAAGAUCGUAGGUGGCCUCUUGAUUGUCAAACUCCUUUGACCCUUUUUGAUCAGAGAAACUGAUAAAAACAGCCGUAGUGGUGCUAUAAUCUUCAUACACCGACUCCUCUCCACAUUCGAAGGCCUGUAGGAGAUUCACUGAGCAGCACCUUGGUUACGUUUCUGCUACAUUUAGCUCCAGAUUAAUGUGGACGAGACAUCAGCAGGUCUGGUUGGAUGGGGGUCCUCAGUGGCUACCCAUAAGCCCCUGGGACUGCACAGUAAAUCAAACAAGAAAUGCAGCGGAAAGCCUAAUAAAGUUCUUCUAAUGAUUGUAAUCUCUGAGGAAGCACCUUCAACGUAAACCAAACUUCCCUCUCCCUCGCUCUCGUCCUCUGAGCUGCUGGGAGAAAUCACUAAAUUUUCCCCUGAAUAAGAGCACCUCGUCUCCAGACCUCCGAACGUGCAGAAGCGGAAACAGAAGGUCUGAGGUGUGGAAAUUAAUAACAUUAAUCACUGAGCUGCUUUCCAGCCUCCUCUUGCCUGCUCUUUGCCUUCUGGUUUCAAGAAGACGAGAUUAAACAUGAACCAACUCAGAGGGGACCGAAACCGUCCUUCUGAUCACAUUAAUUCAGCAACAUCUCGCUCACAUGAAUAUGCAUACUGAUUUCUGAUAAAUCUGGCACAUACCCCGUCUUAUUCUGAUUAUUAGCACGUUCGAACUCUUGGUAUGAAGGCCAACAUUCAGUCAUGUGAGUCCUGGACCUGGUCUCUCCAGAUAUCACCUUUGUUUAAGGGCCAUCGGGCCGGUUUCCAGCAUUGUAAACGGUGAUGUAUUACAUUCCAGCUCUGUUUGUAUGUCUCGGGCCGACACCUCCGGCUCUCUUUUAUUCUCUCUUAGUCAUAACAGCUUUUGUUUGAAGUGCGGAGGCAGACACAACAUCUCAGCCGUGGCUCCACAGCGUUCAGACCUUCCACCUCUGUUUACAGCUCGAGCCUCUCAGGCAUAAUGUUGUGAAACGGACAGAUGGAUCUACCGAGCUCCAGAAGAAUCCUGUUAUCUACAAAGUUUGUGCCAAAGCCUUCGGUUCAUUCUCACUGCUGUGGAGUAGAUAUCCUUAUCAACAUUUAUCCUUCCUCCAAAAAAGACCGAUCAUACUCUUUCUGGGACACCUACAGAGAAGCUUCGUAUCAUUUAAGGUUGAAAAACGUCCUUAUUCUUCUUUUUCUGGCCUCAGUGGAAACUCUCAGUUCAGCAGUAGGAGCCUUAAAUGCUUUACUUUUUUCCCUUUCACUGAUUUUAAUCAAAACGGAGCUGCUGGGUGUUACUUUUUACACAGCUCAUGAACAAACCUAAAAGCUACGUCUUUACGGAAACAUCCGAGUCCUGCUGAGAGCACCUCAGCUCCAGAUUCAGCCAUAUAAGUGUAUGAAACUCAAAUCUUGGCCAGUGUUUUUGUCUUUUCAAACUUCUUUUAAGCAAAGUUUUAAAAACAGCAGAGUCGCUCGUAGAAUUUCAAGGAACCGAAGUUCUAUCAAAAGGAACUAGAGAAGUUGUUUUUCUUUUUGAAGGUGUUAUAUAUUUUUGUGAUAUCUUAAAUUUAGACAUUUUCACGGCUUAUGUCUUUGAGUAGACCUUAUGAGACAUUUUUCGCUUUAAAUAAUACAAAAGAUUGAUAUUGACAUGCUAACGUUUCAGUUUAUAGCUUUGGUUACACUAGCAGCUGUUAUGAUGUUACUCACAGCUCGUGAAAGGCCUUUAUCGAUGCGGCGGCUCCAAGCUGAGAUGCAAAUCCAGUUCCUGUUGGUUCAUAAGCAAAUUAUCAUUGAAGGGGUGAGCAUCAACGGUUUCUAUCUAGCUGAAAAAAAUAAAACUAAACCAACCUACUAAAUAGAUUUAAGUCCUGGGAAAAGUCGUGGUUAGGAUUAAAAAUAUGUUUCGACUAACUUCAGCAUUGAAAUUUGGUUUAAUUAGAUUGACCAAAUUCUGAAUCCCCAAAAAGAGGACACUUCUACACAGGGCGGAGUCACAGAAUCGGAUGUAGUAAAUUUUGAGAGUUUUUCGGGUCAGGUAAAGUGUUUUUUACACGCUUCUUACUCAGUUUGUCAACACGACAGAAACUUAAAACUUUCAUACAGAACCCAUUUGAAGGAUUUUAUAAACGACGCUGGACAGUCACCAAAAAAGAAAAAAGUGGACAUAUGGUCACUCUAGGUUAAUAGUCACCAGUGUUUUGGUUAAGUGACUUAAGAUGUAAUGUUCCUUUUUAUUUUAUAUUGUCUGUAAGCAGAAACCUCCAGGUUCAACAAAAUGAAGCUGAUGUAGAAAUCCUAAAAACUGCAGUUCCUUAAGCGUCCACUUGGGGCUGGCUGCAGAAGCACCAAGAACGACAUACACACUCAUUCAAAAAAACAUCUUUACGACAACAACAACAACAAAAUGUUUACAGCCUCAGUGAAGUUUGACCAAAAGUUAGAUUGAGUCAGCAUGGCGUUGCAGUAUUCUAUGUCCAUGUUUUGUACAUUUUUUAUUGGGUAUCUAUUUUGGAAAAGUAAAUAAGUUAAUAUAAAUUUUAUGUCUCAUGCAUCCAUUUCCUGUAAAGUGAUACGACUGACACUUAUUGGACACAAGAAAACUACUAAUACAUGUACAGAACAAAAUAAUCGACCAACACAAAGUGGAAGUUUCCUCAUAGCAUCAGUUUUUUUUUACAUGUUUCUGCAACAUUAACAUGCAAAACACUUUAAAACGACUCUAACAUUAUUCUAACACGAUGCCUGAUUUUCAAAUCCGUGGAAAUAAAAAGUGAAAGAAGUCCAGAGUGAGUUAAAAACUGAUAAAUGUUGGUUUUUGCAUCCUUGUGUGUCUCUUGCUGAGAAAUAAAACAUACUGUUGAGCCCGCUGAGAGGGAGAGAGAAAAUCAACUCAUCUCUAUUUAUUGAGUCUGCGGCCUGUUGUUCAUUUUCGAGGAAUUUAGCUGAAGUGGCCUCUUGUUAUUUGAAGUACUAAUUGAACCCAUUUUCCUUUUCCAAACCUGUCUUACCACUUUCAUUUUAAAGCAAUAACUCAUCGAUGAACAACACCACUCAGCGGACGCCACUUGUCACGAUGGUUCCACUUAUGCAUUGACCAAAACAGACUCAACAGUGAAAGUUGCAUCACACAUUUUUCAGGCCGCUGCCUCGUCCAAGUGCCUCGCCACUUAUCAGUCUCGAUUGUGUUUAAUAUAUUCCGUUUUUAUGCUGUUUUUCAAAAGCACAGAGCUGAAAGCAUCUCAGCGGGUAAACCGGUGGAUUUAAGGUGUGUGCGUUUUUCGCAAACUUCUGCUGCUUUUUUUUUCGACUCUCGCACAAACCUGUCCUCUGAGGUUUGCGCGCCGAGUCCCUUCCAAUAAAACUCCCAAACAAGAAGGCGAAAAAUCCUAUUCAGUCUUUGUCUUUGAUAUUCCUAAAUGUCCUUAAACCGAGAAGAACCUUUGCAAUAUUUGAACCUUAUUGAACUUAAUUCUUCGGCUUAAAGUAAAGCGCUCUUGCAUCUGUGUCAGUGUUUGUAGAUGUGAGUUGUGAUCUUCCAAUCAUGGGGAUGCUGAUCCAGGAGAAGUUGACACGUCCUGGUCGCCAAUCUGCACGGGGAGCUGAGGUGUGGAUAUUUCAUUCAGGCACUUCUUUCCUCUGAUCAUAAUUGCACAGCGACAGAUGGGCAAUGGUGGAGCGCGCAAGUAUACAGCGUGCAUAGAAAUGUGCUCAUAGCUCAGAAGAGAAACAGCUUUAAAGCAGUCAGGUGUGGGGUUUUAUUUUGACACCUUGCCUGCCUGCGAAACACCUACUUUCUUCUCUGGCGGGACAGAGUUGCAUAAAAAAUGGUCAUAAGUUCUUGGUGAGAUGCAACUUUCAGCCAUGAAUGGUUGUAAAUCUUCUUUUGUUACAGGUGAAUGAUGGAAAUUGUGGCCGUUUUUGAAUCAGAGAGCUUCUUCGCGGAGAUAAUGGAGCAGUCUCGAGGCCUCUUGCCACCUCGACAAGUAAGCAUCAAGAGAAAAAAGGAGAACGGAGAAGAAGCAGUUAAAUUGCUUUAACAGCUGUGCGGGGUAUGAAUAACUCGUUAGCCGUGUGCAUUUUAAGUCAUCAAAUCCUGAGACCCCCACCACCACCACCACCCUCCUCCUCCUCCUCCUUCUCCUCCUCGCAAACACACACCUACCCCUCAUUUGCAAAGGGGGACAGGAGGGAGGUGCUAAUUAAAGUGAUAAAGAGAACAAAUCUUAUCAAAUCCUGAGCUGGAGGAGUUUUUUUCUUUUUUACGGGGCGGGGUGGUGGAGGUGUUGGUGUCUAAGGAGGAAAAAAAUCCAGGGUUACAUCUGUAUUCUCAAACACUCGGGGAAGGUGUUAUUUCAUGUUUAAUUAAUUAAGCAGUCUCUUUAACUGUAUCUUGACAAAUGUGAUGCCAAUUAGAUAGUGAAGAGAAAUUGUUUAUUGCUAAUUAAUGGCUGAUUUCAGGGGAAAAGAAGUUUAAUCCUCUGAUACCUCACCUUUUUUAUUGCAGAGCAGGAAUAAGCCUCCACCUCUGACUCUGACUCUGCGGCUCCGCCCGUCCUUACAUGAACCGACAAGAUCAGCUGGAAGUUAGGAAAAAAUAAACUUUUAAAAACAACAACCAACAAAAUAAAAACAGAGUUUGAAGAGAGGUGAGAUAAUCUACUCCUUUAUUAGUCCCACAAGGGGAAAUUCCCAGAGGCCCAAGUUUUGGCACUUCGAGUUGAUCAACAUCAGAUCGGUAUCAGUAACAAGAACGAUCUGAAAGUGUGAACAUUCGGUUGGUUAGUCGAGAAACAGGUUUUAAUGUUGUUUUUGGAUUUACAAUAAAAGUCUGAGUCUUCUUUAGCUUUAAAAAUGAUGAGUCAUCCCUUACGGGGUGUUCACACCAAGUGCGAGUAAAAAC